GAUGAACGCUGGCGGCGUGCCUAAUACAUGCAAGUCGAGCGAACGGACGAGAAGCUUGCUUCUCUGAUGUUAGCGGCGGACGGGUGAGUAACACGUGGAUAACCUACCUAUAAGACUGGGAUAACUUCGGGAAACCGGAGCUAAUACCGGAUGAUAUUUUGAACCGCAUGGCUCAAAAGUGAAAGACGGUCUUGCUGUCACUUAUAGAUGGAUCCGCGCUGCAUUAGCUAGUUGGUAAGGUAACGGCUUACCAAGGAAACGAUGCAUAGCCGACCUGAGAUGGUGAUCGGCCACACUGGAGCUGAGACACGGUCCAGACUCCUACGGGAGGCAGCAGUAUGGAAUCUUCCGCAAUGGGCGAGAGCCUGACGGAGCAACGCCGCGUGAGUGAUGAAGGUCUUCGGAUCGUAAAACUCUGUUAUUAGGGAAGAACAUAUGUGUAAGUAACUGUGCACAUCUUGACGGUACCUAAUCAGAAAGCCACGGCUAACUACGUG
rnacentral:rRNA from 1 species